rnacentral:rRNA from 1 species
AAUCAACGCUGGCGGCGUGCCUCAGACAUGCAAGUCGAACGCGAAAGUCCCCUUCGGGGGACGAAGUAGAGUGGCGCACGGGUGAGUAACACGUAGGUAAUCUACCUUUGGAUGGGGAAGUAACAACCGGAAACGGUUGCUAAUACCGCAUAAUGCAGCGGCACCUAAUGGUGACAGUUGUUAAAGCGGGGGAUCGAAAGACCUCGCGUCUGAAGAGGAGCCUGCGGCGGAUUAGCUAGNGGUAAGGUAAUGGCUUACCAAGGCUACGAUCCGUAACCGGCCUGAGAGGGCGGUCGGUCACACUGACACUGACAUACGGGUCAGACUCCUACGGGAGGCAGCAGUCGGGAAUUUUGGGCAAUGGGCGAAAGCCUGACCCAGCAACGCCGCGUGAAGG